rnacentral:pre_miRNA from 1 species
UUAACUCAAAUUUGUAUGGAGUUGGAACAGCGCCCCUAGCGACAAACGUAGGCAAACUUUCCAAUUCCAUACAAAUUUUGAGUUA